rnacentral:rRNA from 1 species
UUCGAUGCCAUUUGAUGAACCCAUAUGGGAUUAGCUAGUAGGUAGGGUAAAGGCCUACCUAGGCGACGAUCUCUAGCUGGUCUGAGAGGAUGACCAGCCACACUGGAACUGAGACACGGUCCAGACUCCUACGGGAGGCAGCAGUGGGGAAUAUUGCACAAUGGGGGGAACCCUGAUGCAGCCAUGCCGCGUGUAUGAAGAAGGCCUUAGGGUUGUAAAGUACUUUCGGUAGUGAGGAAGGUAACUAUUAACAUAGUUAAUUGACGUUAAUUACAGAAGAAGCACCGGCUAACUCCGUGCCAGCAGCCGCGGUAAUACGGAGGGUGCGAGCGUUAAUCGGAAUGACUGGGCGUAAAGGGCAUGUAGGCGGAUAAUUAAGUUAGGUGUGAAAGCCCCGGGCUCAACCUGGGAAUUGCACUUAAAACUGGUUAUCUAGAGUAUUGUAGAGGAAGGUAGAAUUCCACGUGUAGCGGUGAAAUGCGUAGAGAUGUGGAGGAAUACCGGUGGCGAAAGCGGCCUUCUGGACAAUACUGACGCUGAGAUGCGAAAGCGUGGGGAGCAAACAGAUUAGAUACCCUGGUAGUCCACGCUGUAAACGAUGUCGAUUUGGAGUUUGGGGGCAUGACCCUUG